UAAUUUUUUUUUUAAUUAUAGUAUGCGUAUGUUAUGAACGUGUCAGGAUCAAUAUGGGCAAAACAAUCCAACAACAAAUUAAGAGACUAUGUUUGGGAUCCGCAUUGAUAAAUACGACUUGGGAGAGCAAAUUGGACUUAUGCAACCUGUUGAGAAAAUUAUGUUUGUAGCAUUGGGCUUUCAUUGCUUGUACUCCAUGGUUUAAGACUACCUCAAAAUUUCUUGCCAUACCCCAGCUGCAACUGUGUUGGAUCGCUUCAGCGGUGUUUCCGACCCAACCGUAUGGAUUUAUCAGGCAGAGCGCUACUUCAAUUUUACUGGCUUUUCUAAGGAUAUGUGGUUUACUCUUCCUUACCUGUAUUUUGACAGGGAAGACCUCGCCUGGUUUAAUUGGUUGUAUCGCAAUAAGCAAUUCUAUUACCGGAAGCAUUUCACUAAUAAAUUGGUAUGCCAUUACCUCCAGCAAACUGUUCUAGAACUUGAAUUGCCUUCUUUAACUGAUCUAUUGCUGUGAAUGUAAAUUUAUGUAUGCAUCGUCACCUGGAUAACAUUCAAACUACUUUGUUGACUUGCUCCCAAAAGUCUUUUGACGCUCAAGCACAAGUGUGAGAUAGAGGAGGUCGUUGAACAUGAUAUUGUUUCUGCUUUGGACAAGAACAACUCCAACCCUAUAGAGAAUUCAGAGGUCGCUCAUACAAUGUUACCAUGUCAUGUGGCCAAUUCGAUGGUACUUUCGCAACGGUUAAAUUUAAGAGGUAGUUCUUCAAACCUCUAUGACUUCUUCUUCUCAUCCCUUUCUUCUAUUUAUGUUUUUCAAUUGCCAUUUAGUUUUUAAAUUUCUUUUUAAUUUUAAUUACGAAUUAGUGAAAUAGACUUGUCGAUUGUUUGAAUUUGAUUUGGAUUGAUCUUGUUAUUGUGUUUGUUACAUCGUAUCAUGUAUAUAUCAAAAAUGAGCCUAAAAUUGUUAAUAUCAUAAUGGGUUUUCUUCAUUGUC